rnacentral:lncRNA from 1 species
CACAGGCCUGUGCCGUCCUGUGCUCACAAACUUCCUCCCUCUGGCCUCUCCAGUUUGGAAAAUGAGAGGGCUGGCAGGCAUGGAUUCUUGGUUUCUAGGGAACUCAACCACACCUGGACACUGGAGGCGGCACCUAGCACUUUAUAGUCCUUCAGAGAGAGUGCUGACUGUGGCUGAGAAGUCGUCCUGGAGAACAGGGACACAGGGGGAGCUGUGGGCUCCGGCCCUUGA